rnacentral:rRNA from 1 species
UACGGGGGGGGCAAGCGUUGUUCGGAAUUACUGGGCGUAAAGGGCUCGUAGGCGGCCAACUAAGUCAGACGUGAAAUCCCUCGGCUUAACCGGGGAACUGCGUCUGAUACUGGAUGGCUUGAGAUUGGGAGAGGGAUGCGGAAUUCCAGGUGUAGCGGUGAAAUGCGUAGAUAUCAGGAGGAACACCUAUUGCGAAGGCAGCUCGCUGGGACGUAACUGACGCUGAGACGCGAAAGCGUGGGGAGCAAACAGG